UAAGUUUGGCUUUUAAUGUGUUAAACUUGCAUUAGAUAAGACAAUGUACCACUGAACACAGGAGGGAUUAUUGCUGAAAAUGGGUCUCUGAACACCUCUGUAGAUAUUCUAUUAAAAAUCAUUCAUGAUCUGUGAUCAGUGUUAAUAUUAAGCAUUUAUAUGAUUAUUUUGAUUAAUUGCUGUGAUUCAAUCUGAAACCAAAUUUGAGUCUAUUCAGAAAACAGGACAUUUCUAAUUCACUCCAGACUUUUGAGCUGUAGUCUACAUUGUAAUUAUAGUGUACGGUUAUUGAUUAGAGCAGAUGAUAUGAGACUAUCAGGAGAAACUGUUAAAAAGUUAUGAGCUGUCUUGAUGCAGAGAAAGUGGAGUUUGUCAUCCUUGAGCUGCUGGUAGGAUGAAUGAUGCUCUGGCUCUGUGGUCAAGUUCAGACAUAGGCUUUAAGCAACCAUGAGCCACUGAUAAGCGUGAUAGAUUAAUAAGCAUGUAUAAAGUGGACUUGUUAAACAGCUCUGAUAGGAGAAAGUCAAUGAGCACGCAAUAAAGUGGACUUGUUAGGGACAGUUUACCAUCAGUCUUGCUAAAGUUUAACUUCAUUUGUAUUUAAAGACAGACUUGAAAGAAAAUCUUAUUUGAAACUGCUGAUAAAAUCCAGGUCAGACACAGUUACAUGCAAACAUACAGUACACACUACUGCUCAAAGGUCAGAGGUCAGUUAGAAAAGUCUCUGAUUUUAAUAGAAAAUUGGCUUUAAUGUAAUAUCUCAUGAAGUGUAUCAGUAAUGUUUUCACAGCUUUAAUCAAAUCAUUCAUCAUCCAUAAGUUGUGAUGCAAAAAUGUCUGCAAGCGUGCAGGAGCCCAUUUUUAGAGACAAUCACUCCUGUGUUAUAAUGUUCAUUGAAGUUUCUCAGGUCAGAUGACCAAUAGAUGAUAAGAAAUAUACUCUUACUAAUUAUUAGAGUUGAAAAGUGCUUUGCUAAGCAAAAUUAAAUGAGGUUAGGUUGCAGCUUGAAAUUUUAACAUAAAAGGUUCAGUUGGUGAUGCAUGAAAGAAAAUAAUUUUCUUCUAAAAAUCUAUUGGAGAAUUCUGAUUGUAAGAAAUGAAAAAUAUUCAAAGAGUGAAACUGUUAAAAAAGUGAAGGUUUUGUGCAGCUGGGUGUUGCAGCCCCUUUACAGGAAAAUGUAAACUUGGUUUAAUGAGGUUAAAAACAAAAACUGGGAUGAUCCAGACACAUUUAUUCUUUCUUUAAUCACCACAAUAGUUUCAGUUUGUGCUAAAAUCUCUUAAAAAGCUGUUUCGAGUGAUAAGUUUGGCUUUUAAUGUGUUAAACUUGCAUUAGAUAAGACAAUGUACCACUGAACACAGGAGGGAUUAUUGCUGAAAAUGGGUCUCUGAACACCUCUGUAGAUAUUCUAUUAAAAAUCAUUCAUGAUCUGUGAUCAGUGUUAAUAUUAAGCAUUUAUAUGAUUAUUUUUGAUUAAUUGCUGUGAUUCAAUCUGAAACCAAAUUUGAGUCUAUUCAGAAAACAGGACAUUUCUAAUUCACUCCAGACUUUUGAGCUGUAGUCUACAUUGUAAUUAUAGUGUACGGUUAUUGAUUAGAGCAGAUGAUAUGAGACUAUCAAGAGAGACUGUUAAAAAGUUAUGAGCUGUCUUGAUGCAGAGAAAGUGGAGUUUGUCAUCCUUGAGCUGCUGGUAGGAUUGAAUGAUGCUCUGGCUCUGUGGUCAAGUUCAGACAUAGGCUUUAAGCAACCAUGAGCCACUGAUAAGCGUGAUAGAUUAAUAAGCAUGUAUAAAGUGGACUUGUUAAACAGCUCUGAUAGGAGAAAGUCAAUGAGCACGCAAUAAAGUGGACUUGUUAGGGACAGUUUACCAUCAGUCUUGCUAAAGUUGAACUUCAUUUGUAUUUAAAGACAGACUUUAAAGAAAAUUCUUAUUCGAAACUGGUGAUAAAAUCCAGGUCAGAUACAGUUACAUACAAGCAUACAGUACACACUACUGCUCAAAGGUCGGAGGUCAGUUAGAAAAGUCCCUGAUUUUAAUAGAAAAUUGGCUUUAAUGUAAUAUCUCAUGAAGUUUAUCAGUAAUGUUUUCACAGCUUUAAUCAAAUCAUUCAUCAUCCAUAAGUUGUGAUGCAAAAAUGUCUGCAAGCGUGCAGGAGCCCAUUUUUAGAGACAAUCACUCCUGUGUUAUAAUGUUCAUUGAAGUUUCUCAGGUCAGAUGACCAAUAGAUGAUAAGAAAUAUACUCUUACUAAUUAUUAGAGUUGAAAAGUGCUUUGCUAAGCAAAAUUAAAUGAGGUUAGGUUGCAGCUUGAAAUUUGGAGAAUGUGGAGUAAAUCUAUUGGAGUAAGUUUCACACAGUAGAAAUUUGUAUUUAUCGUUAAUAUUGUUUUUAUCCUGAUAUUAGUGUUUAUUUGUAAGUGUAGUUUUUGCAUGAUUUUAUUCUGUUUGUAUCGCUUGUUUUUAGUGUGUUAUUUUACAUCGUUUUAAUCCACUGUGCAUUGGCUGGGCAUGGGACAAAUUAGCUGAUAGUGUCACCUGCUGAGGCAUGGGUGUGUCCAGAGGUGUUCUUUCAGCUGUUUAAAGGACUUAUUAGAAGGAAGCAAGCUGAGCACUGGAAGGAGAGAGGCCCUAGAUAUGAAGAGGAAUGCAUGAAGCCCAGGUAGAAAAGAGGGAUCCGCUGCGUGAUCGUGGGGGGCGCGACGCCUCGUCUGGAGACUGACCGGUCAGCGCGGUGUGGCGACCCAGUACCGACAGCAGGAACGGCGACAGUAGGAGACAACGCUUGUGAUUGACAGCAGGGCAGAUGUAUACCUGUGCCUGCAUUCGGCGAUGACGUGAGGGGAGCCGCGGUGGUAUCGAGCGGCGGACUCCAAUGCAGAAUGCGAACUGUGCUGGGAUGUGAUGGGCCCAGUGGAGGGACGAGACUGGGAUAGGAGGCUCCUCAUCUGCCUGGCACGAGGCUGGCGUGGACCCCGCUCCGCAAGAGGAAUUUCUGUCCAGCUCAAGAACACACAGGGGAUAUUCGUCCUGGGUUGUGGGACUGGGUGGGAUUUUUGUGCAUGAAGAGAAUUGUAUUUUUACCAGUUUUAGAACAAUUUCAUCUGGUCUCGGUGGGAAUUUUAGCAUAUUGAGAAUAUUUUAUUGUAUACUUUUUUCUUAGUAUCUGGUUUGUUUUAUUCCUGCUGUCCACCUCGUGGAAUAAACAGUUUCUGAUCAGACAAUCACUUCUGUGUUAUAAUGUUAACGGAAGUUUAUCAGGUCAGAUGGCCAAUGGAUGAUAAGAAAUAUACUCUUAGCAAUUAUUAGAGUUGAAAAGUAGUUUGCUAAGCAACAAGUACUAAAUCGGGUUAGGUUGAGGCUUAAUCCUUCACCUUAACUGGCUCAGAUGGUCUCUAAAUGGAUGAAUGAAACAAUACUUAACUUCCAAAAACAAUAUUUUAGUCAGGGCUAGCGGAAAGUUUCAUAAAUAUCAUUAAUAUGUAUCUUCUCUGUCUUCCUAUAGUUUCGUUUCAUUUUCUUACCCCACCCCCAACCGGUCGAGGCAGAUGGCCGCCCCCUGAGCCUGGUUCUGCCGAAAAUGGAGUUCUUCCUUCCCACUGUUGCCAAAUGCUUCGUCAUAGGGGAUCAUUUGAUUGUUGGGCCUUUCUCUGUAUUAUUGCACAACCUUUAUCUUACCAUGUAUUGCAAGUUUAUAUGUUGUGAAUUGUCUUAAUUUAAAUCAAAUUGAACUGCAUUCAAUUAAAACUAAAUAUAACUUGUAAUCAAAUGUGAAGUCUUCUCACUCAAUUUGGACAACUAGCACUGAAAAAUACAC
ensembl:lncRNA